rnacentral:snRNA from 1 species
AUACUUACCUAGCAAGGGAGAUACCAUGGUCACAAAGGCGGUCUUCCCAGAGCGAGGUUUAUCCAUUGCACUCCAGAUGUGCUGACCCUCGCAAUUUCCCCAAGUGUGGGAAACUCGACUGCAUCGUUUGUGGUAGUGGGGGACUGUGUUCAUGCUCUCCUCUG